rnacentral:rRNA from 1 species
AUGGGUUGCGAGGAAAUGAAACAUAUAACUGGGCAUCUUCCAGAAUUUGCCCGUUGUAAACUUCUUGGUUUUGAUCUAGAGGAAAUUUAUAUGUAUUGUGCGGUGAAUUGCAUUGAAAAUCCUUACAUUGCCACUUACAUAAAGAAAAGAAAACAAAUAGAAGAUGAAGACAAUACUAAUGAAAGGGAAGAGACUUCCCAAUACCCUCCUAUUAUUUCUUAUGAUGAAUCAGGUAAUGAGGAGGAGCUUCCUAUUCAACCAAUCUCAUUAAUAAGGAGCUCUAAAAAGAGGAUUGAACCCACACAUGAUGUGGCGAAGAAGAAGAAAAGAAAAAGGAAGAGAGGUAAAAAGAUAUCUCUCCCAAAUAAUGUUGCUCCUAUUACUAUUGUGCCUCAUGAAAAUAUAAUUGUGGAAGAUAAUGAUACUUCUUAUGAUCUUGAAAAUCUUUUUGGCACAUGCUUGGAAGAAUAUGAUAAUUGA